UCUCUGCACAGAUUAUCUCGUCUCCGUUUCAUUCGCUUCUCCACCCAGAUCGGCUGCACAGAUGUCCUCAUUUUUUUUCCUACUGUCGAGCCCCCUAAUUUGCUUAUUUAACUCGAUUGCCACCGCCUUCUGAAACCAUGCAAUGUUUGUCUGUAAGAGAAGAAAGACAAACACUCGGUUUUUAAACAUAAAGCUGAAUUCCUUCACAGUCCACAAAUAGGAAGUUAGAAUUUGACAAACCUGGGACAAGCACAUUACCUGAUUUUCUGCUGAAGGUUAAUAGCAUGGAGCCAACUGGAGGAAGGAAAAAUCCAGGAUGCAAUUAAUGUGACUUA